ACAACACCGGACCGUCAGUCUACCAAGCAAUAUCACCUGCUUAGUGGAAGACCUUCCCUUUGUCUU
rnacentral:pre_miRNA from 1 species